GACUUUUCUGGAGGCCGCGGGUGAGGAGCACAGCUGAUAUGCCCUUUUUUCUGGUUUGUUGUUAUUUACCUAGCAUUGUAAACUAAGGAGGAAAAGUAACAAAGAGCUUGAAGACUUUCAUGGAGCCCAGGCCCUGGACGGAGGCAGGCGACAUCAGAGAACCAAGAAAGCUGAGGGGCAGCCAGGAGGCACCUGUGGCUGCAGAGCCCAGAGUAUCGUUACAUUUCUUUAUUUGUGUGCAAGAGUCGAUGUGAUAACUUUCUGUGACAUGUUCUGUUAUUUUUUUAGUUGUGUUGAUGUUCCUUUCAGCCAAUCCUAUAGUCCCCCCAUCUCAGGAAUGUCUCCCCAGUGACAGGACACAGACUGCAGAGACCGCUGUACUGGUGGACGCUCAAGCCAACUGUGAAGUUGAAACAAAGGAAUCAGGACUCGGUCACCUGAAGACACCUCUUCUGCUAAGCGACACACCCACAUGAUGCAGUUCAGCCAGUAGACUCUCAGAACAAGAGGCAAUCUUUGCAAGAAACAGGAACACUUGAGAAUGACUUCUAGAUUUCUGACUUCCCUUCCUCGUGUGUAUUCCUCUGUUUGUAUUUCAAUUCUGUGUGACAUUCAUCUUUAAAAAAGUGUUUUCUGAUAUGAAUAUGCUUAUCAACACACCCAAUUUUUAAAAUAGAAAAUUUCACACACAUGCUAAUGUUUUAAGGAACAAAAUUCAUGCUAUGAAUUUUAGCCACAUACAAGGUUUGACCUUAAGAGUGACUUAAACAAUAGGAUAUAAAGUUAUUUUGAAACAGCGGAGUCGUCGGAGGUAACUCAAAGGAUAGAAUAACGGUGGUAACUCAGAAUGCAGCGUAGAAAGGCACUACCCUGUGACACCACCAAUCAACCAUGCUUUCUGUCAGGCAAGCUAGGUUCUGCCUCUGCAGAGUUUAAGUUUAGUUAGGCAGAGGUAUGUACGCUUUUGACAAGAUAAGUAACAAAUCAAGUCAAUAGACAAUAACAGUAAAACCAAAGCAAGACAAAAGAUGUAUGAACAAGGAGCUCAGAGGUGGUCACGUUAAACUGGGCAAACUGGUCCGUUUAGGGAAGAAAGUUCGCAAAGGAGGAGGAAAUGAAUCUUAAAAGAUGUUAAAGAUUUCGAUAAAUGGAAAAGAAGGAGAAAAUCGAGUCCUUUAGAUGGAUGUGGUGUUGUGAGCAAAGUCCGGGAAGACUACAUGUAAUUUUAGGGAAUUAUGAUCACACAUGUCUAGUUGCCUUCACCCCAGACUUUCAGUGCCAGUGUGUGUGUAUGUACAUACGUGGUAAAGACUUCAUGGACACAUUGUCCCUCUCCCGCUUCAGGUGUCGCCUAGAAUCAUAAUUGUAUUUCUUCCAUUAAAGCACGUGAGAGUGGCGAUAACAGGAGGAUUUGUGAUUUUUCUCUUGGCCUGAUAACAAUGGAUGUUUAUUGAGUUCUCACUACAUUUUGAGUAUUUUAUACAUCAACUCUCUGAAGCCUCACAACAAUCCUGCAAAAUUUAUCCCCAUUUUACACUAAGAAAACUGAGGUUUAAUGAGGUUAAGUAACUUGCCAAACCACCACAUCCAGGUGUCACAAUCAGAUUUGCCAUCGCAAAGCUCAUGAUCUAAAGCACUAAGUCAAAAUACUACGACCAACAUCACAAUAUGACCACUUCUCUAGUCCUUGAGAUUUUUCUGUGGUAAAUGGUAACAAUUAUCUUCUCAAAUUUUUCAGUUUUCUGGUUAAAUUACACUAAAGUGAUGGAACGUAUUUUUAUCAUGACAGAAAUUGGAGGGGAAAUGGGGUUUAUCAGCAUUUUAGGCUGCUUUGGUGGGUGUCCAGCCUUUGAUGGGACUAUUCAUUUUGGUGAGCAUGAACUCUCCACUUCUUGAGAAUGAAAAUAGAAAGUGAGGGGAGCCUAAAGGUCAUCUAUACAAUGUCCUUUUCUACAGGUGUUGUCAAUCCAUGAAGUUAGAGUGACUUACAGAAGAUCCCACAUUUGCGUGUAGCAAAGCAAGGUCCAGAAACCAUGCCCUCAGCGGCUCUUAAAUAAACAACUGCAUCCUGCCUAAAAGAAGUGUGAGCUUGAAUUUGAUCAAUGACAACAUUCCAUCUGGGUGAUCAGGGGCGGCAUGGAACCUAGUAGACUGCUCAGUUUUGCACCUCUCUGGCUUCUCACCUCAGCGUGAAAAAUAGCUAUAGCUCUGGGCUGACAUCUUUAGAUGCAGGAAUUGUCAGUGGUCCAUCCACACAGAACAUACAAUGGCCCAAGUUAUGUGUACAGUGUCUUCAAUGAUUUGGAAUUCUCAGUUCACCUAAACAGAUCUUCUCAUGAGCAUUUCCUGAACCAAUUUUAUGCACAGUAUAUAUUAGAGCUUCCACAUCAAGAUUUAAACACGACUGUUUCGCUAGUCCUUAUGUUUUUGAUGGUAUCAGUGGUUCUUUGCUAUUUUAACCUUCACUUAUCCAGGUGACUAACUCAAGAAUACUUCAGCAAUAAAAAGCUGGAAUUGAGGAAACCUUAUUCUUUACCAGCCCCUUCGCCUUCAGUUGGCAUUCAGUCAUGCCAAAUAGAGGGGUCAGCUGGAGAACUCAAAUUUGAAAUGCAAUUUUGUCUGAAGUCCGUUAAGCUGUGUUUACUUAAGGGCAAGCUUCUAGAUGUUUGAAAGUACCUGAAUAUUUAACUGUUGUAAAUUUCCAGUUAGAUAUCUGGCAUUGUUGCACUUGGACCUGCUGGUGGCUCAGGUCAUCCUAUUUUCAAAAUGAUCAUUGGCCAUGUGUCACACAAUUCUCAUUAAGUGAGUUCAUAGAGUUUUUUAAGUCAAGCCAAGCACAAAAUGUGACUUUGUUGACAUUUUAUGAGACUUUGUCAUAUGUCCCCUGAACCCCCCAAUAAAAGCACUGUUGCAUCAACUG
ensembl:lncRNA